AUUGAACGCUAGCGGGAUGCCUUACACAUGCAAGUCGAACGGAGUGGCGAACGGGUGAGUAAUGUAUCGGAACGUGCCCAGUAGCGGGGGAUAACUACGCGAAAGCGUAGCUAAUACCGCAUACUAUUUGCGCCGCCGAUAUCGGAUUAGACAGUGGGUGGGGUAACGGCUCACCAAGGCGCCGACCCGUAGCUGGUUUGAGAGGACGACCAGCCACACUGGAACUGAGACACGGCCCAGACUCCUACGGGAGGCAGCAGUGGGGAAUUUUGGACAAUGGGGGAAACCCUGAUCCAGCCAUCCCGCGUGUGCGAUGAAGGCCUUCGGGUUGUAAAGCACUUUUGGCAGGAAGGCGGUACCUGCAGAAUAAGCACCGGCUAACUACGUGCCAGCAGCCGCGGUAAUAC
rnacentral:rRNA from 1 species